rnacentral:rRNA from 1 species
AACGAACGCUGGCGGCAGGCCUAACACAUGCAAGUCGAGCGCCCCGCAAGGGGAGCGGCGGACGGGUGAGUAACGCGUGGGAACGUACCCCUUUCUACGGAAUAGCCUCGGGAAACUGGGAGUAAUACCGUAUAAGCUCUUCGGAGGAAAGAUUUAUCGGGAAGGGAUCGGCCCGCGUUGGAUUAGGUAGUUGGUGGGGUAAUGGCCUACCAAGCCGACGAUCCAUAGCUGGUUUGAGAGGAUGAUCAGCCACACUGGGACUGAGACACGGCCCAGACUCCUACGGGAGGCAGCAGUGGGGAAUCUUAGACAAUGGGCGCAAGCCUGAUCUAGCCAUGCCGCGUGAGCGAUGAAGGCCUUAGGGUUGUAAAGCUCUUUCAGUGGGAAGAUAAUGACUGUACCCACAGAAGAAGCCCCGGCUAACUCCGUGCCAGCCGCCGCAGUAAAAC